UAGGGAAUCUUCGGCAAUGGACGAAAGUCUGACCGAGCAACGCCGCGUGAGUGAAGAAGGUUUUCGGAUCGUAAAACUCUGUUGUUAGAGAAGAACAAGGACGUUAGUAACUGAACGUCCCCUGACGGUAUCUAACCAGAAAGCCACGGCUAACUACGUGCCAGCAGCCUCGUUAAUUCGUAGGUGGCAAGCGUUGUCCGGAUUCAUUGGGCGUAAAGCGAGCGCAGGCGGUUUCUUAAGUCUGAUGUGAAAGCGCCCGGCUCAACCGGGGAGGGUCAUUGGAAACUGGGAGACUUGAGUGCAGAAGAGGAGAGUGGAAUUCCAUGUGUAGCGGUGAAAUGCGUAGAUAUAUGGAGGAACACCAGUGGCGAAGGCGGCUCUCUGGUCUGUAACUGACGCUGAGGCUCGAAAGCGUGGGGAGCAAACAGG
rnacentral:rRNA from 1 species